GUAGUUAGAACCGGGAUAGAAGACUAACCUUUAGUCCUGGUUACAGCCACCAACCAAGACUAAAGAUGUUGCGUCAGGAACGAGGACCAUUGAUCCUGGUUCGUGUCUGAAAUCGGGAAUAAAGGGGUCAAACAAAACGGGAUCCUGACCCGCCCGACGCACUGACCUCACGAACCGAAUCUGAUGCAUCCAUUGGUAUUGGUUCAUAACAGAACCGGAAUUAAAAUUAUUUCAUCGCCUGGACCAAAGCCGGUGCUUGGGAGCUUUCUACGCAAAGUGUCGUCCUUGAGAAUGCUCGUACAAUAUGAACCCUUUUGAGUGCAAGUAUUUGCUGCCGUCGAUGAUUGGUGCGCGCAAAGGUAGAGCAAGAAUGAGACGGAGACUAUAGUGUGACUGCAAGAUUGUUCGGCAAUAAUUUGCUUUCCCAGCCCGGGCAUAGGUACACGGAGUGACUGUGCUCGGGUG
rnacentral:lncRNA from 1 species